GGAAUUUUAAAAAGAAAUACCAUUUCUUUAUAGUUAUAUCUUAAGAAGUUAGAACUGGAGUAAGAUUAAUGCGGAGAGAAUUCCUAUUUCAAUAUAUUCAUUAAUUAUAGAAUUUCUACUAUACUUCCAAACACCGCUCUCUCUCUCUCUCUCACACCCUGGCAGUUUAGAGAGCUCAUAGUGACUAAUCCAUUCAGUAUUGCCGGUUCUGUCUUAGAAAAGUGUGAGACAGCGUCUUUAAGUCUUCAGAGGUAGUAGAAAUAAUUUGCUUCCAAGACACUCUGUUAUCUCAGGGCCCCACAUCAAAGAAGUUUGUACAGAUCUCUGCCUGCUGAAGUAGCUAUCUCCUCAUUCCUAUCUGGCAGACUCAGACGAUGUUUGCCCUUAGAAUGAUAACUUGACAUAUCAACACUCUGCAGAACCUGGUCUGGUCUGGGAAGAAAGGAUUUGUGUUUAUGCAUAUUGUCUCAAUGAGUAUGUCUUUUGGCAUGUAAAUGAAGAUUCACACCCCUAAUUCCUCUUUGUAAACCAUUUCUUUCUUCCUCAGCAGUCUUAUGACAAAAAAUCCCUUUAUUUUUCAGAUAAUUUUAUUAUUUUUUUAAAUUAUGAGAGCAACAUGUUUUUAUUGUAACAGAAGAAAUAAGACUAAGAUCAGCAGAGAAAAAGUUAAUUAUUCCUGUCUCCCCACAACCCUGUUUCUUCCCUCCGACCCCUGAAAUAAUCACAAUUGUAAAUAGCCUUGUGUAACCCUUCCUCAAGGAUCUCUCUCUCCCUCCCUCUCUCAGUCCACCUCCCACCCCCAUCCUCAGCUGCAGGCCUGAGCAUUGCGCUUGCACUGGAGUCCAGGGGUUAGAAGUGACUGCAGGGAUGGAGUCUUUAUUUGGGUGAUGAAAUGGGAAGACAGACUUCAGCAAGAGAACAAACCACCCUUAGGUUCUGCUUCCAUGAAUUUCAAAGUCUUCCAUUUAACUCCUUUCUAGUUUUUUCAGUUCUGAGGACAUAUGUAAAAUGUGGAAAUGCAAAAACAGUGUGGAAGUGAAAUCUUGUCCUGCUGCCCCGGGGAGACUGC
rnacentral:lncRNA from 1 species